UUGCAGAACUUCUUGGUCAAAUGAUUGAACUUGGAUCUAUAGCUAAUGUUCCCCAAAGGCCCAUGUGUUAAAGGAUUGGUCCCCAGGUUGGUGCUAUUGGGAGGUAGUGGAAAGUUUAAGAGGCAAGACCUAGAGGUAGGUCAUCUGGUCCCCCUUGAAGGGGACAGUGGGCCCCCAGCCUCUUCCUUUUCCUCUCUUUUUCCAUCCAUGAGGUAAAUGGCUUUGCUGUACCUCAUGCUCUCCACCUUGAUGUUCUGUGCCAUCAGAGGCCCAAAAAGCAAUAGUGCCAACCAACCAGGGUCUUAAACUUCCAAAACCAUGAGCCAAAAUAAACCUUCCAUCUUUAUAAGAUCACUAUCUCAGGUAUUUAUUACAGUAACAGAAAACUGACUAACACACCUUCUAUAGCCUUUGAGCUCUAUAAUUUUAUACCAAACUUUUACAACUCAC
rnacentral:lncRNA from 1 species